rnacentral:rRNA from 1 species
AUGGCAGUUGAAGGCUCCGGCAAGGAAGUUGCCGGAUGCACUUGUGGUCAUGAGGUAGCCGCCGGCGACAAGACGGAGAGCCCCGGCAAGCCAUACUGCAAGAUCCACCGUACCAAGAGCCAUGAUCUCCACGAGUGUCGACAAGUUGAGCAACUUGCCGAGAAGCAGAAAGCUGAAUAUGAGAAGCGCGACAAGGAGAAGGGCCUGGUGGAUCCGGCAAGAAAGGUCGUAGCGGCCGCAGAGGUCGUCGUGGCAAGGCCAAGCAGCAGAAGGAGAAGCCUGCUCGAGGCCAUGGCAAGGAGGAUGAUGAGGAUGAUGACAAGGACGAAGAGGAGUCCAACGAACAAGAGUUCCAGAAGGCUACAGAAGCCAUGUGCAUUGAUGGAGGAGCAUCUUUGCACUCCUCUCACCGCCAACUCAAGCAGUGAGCGCGUGAGAUCAAUGUUGCGGAGCCGGCAAUUGAGACACAGAAGCAUACGCGCCUAUCAUUUUUUACGCCGAGGACCACCCUGA